ACCGAAUAGAUACCCUGGUAGUCCACGCCGUAAACGUUGGGCGCUAGGUGUGGGGGUCCUUCCACGACCUCCGUGCCGCAGCUAAACGCAUUAAGCGCCCGCCUGGGGAGUACGGCCGCAAGGCUAAAACUCAAAGGAAUUGACGGGGCCCGCACAAGCGGCGGAGCAUGCGGAUUAAUUCGAUGCAACGCGAAGAACCUUACCAAGGCUUGACAUGCACAGGAAAGUUCCAGAGAUGGUUCCCCGGCAAGGUCUGUGCACAGGUGGUGCAUGGUUGUCGUCAGCUCGUGUCGUGAGAUGUUGGGUUAAGUCCCGCAACGAGCGCAACCCUUCGUCUUAUGUUGCCAGCACGUAAUGGUGGAACUCAUAAGAGACUGCCGGGGUCAACUCGGAGGAAGGUGGGAUGACGUCAAAUCAUCAUGCCCCUUAUGUCUUGGGCUUCACGCAUGCUACAAUGGCCGGUAC
rnacentral:rRNA from 1 species